AUCAGAAAAGGGCAAACCUAUUGAAAAAUAGGGACGCAAAGUCACAGGUCUAAAGUUGGUAACAAUAAUGACGGCUGGAUUACCUGA
rnacentral:ncRNA from 1 species